AUUGAACGCUGGCGGCAGGCUUAACACAUGCAAGUCGAACGAGUGGCGGACGGGUGAGUAAUGCUUGGGAAUCUGGCUUAUGGAGGGGGAUAAAUCCGGGAAACUGUAUCUAAUACCGCGUACCAUAGGAUGAGCCCAAGUGGGAUUAGGUAGUUGGUGAGGGACAGGCUCCCCAAGCCGACGAUCUAUAGCUGGUCUGAGAGGAUGACCAGCCAGACUGGGACGGAGACACGGCCCAGACUCCUACGGGAGGCAGCAGUGGGGAAUAUUGCGCAAUGGGGGCAACCUGAAGCAGCCAUGCCGCGUGAAUGAAGAAGGCCUUCGGGUUGUAAAGUUCUUUCGGUAGCGAGGCGUUAACUACAGAAGAAGCACCGGCUAACUCCGUGCCAGCAGCCGCGGUAAUUC
rnacentral:rRNA from 1 species